AACGAACGCUGGCGGCAUGCCUAACACAUGCAAGUCGAACGAGACCUUCGGGUCUAGUGGCGCACGGGUGCGUAACGCGUGGGAACCUGCCCUUAGGUUCGGAAUAACUCCCCGAAAGGGGUGUUAAUACCGGAUAAUGUCUUCGGACCAAAGAUUUAUCGCCUUUGGAUGGGCCCGCGUUGGAUUAGCUAGUUGGUAGGGUAAAAGCCUACCAAGGCGACGAUCCAUAGCUGGUCUGAGAGGAUGAUCAGCCACACUGGGACUGAGACACGGCCCAGACUCCUACGGGAGGCAGCAGUGGGGAAUAUUGGAUAAUGGGCGAAAGCCUGAUCCAGCAAUGCCGCGUGAGUGAUGAAGGCCUUAGGGUUGUAAAGCUCUUUUACCCGGGAUGAUAAUGACAGUACCGGGAGAAUAAGCUCCGGCUAACUCCGUG
rnacentral:rRNA from 1 species